ACGGCGCUGCAUCAGAAUCCAUGGUUUUGGAAAACACAGGGUGUGGCGAAUCCUCCAGCCAAUAUAAUAUUGCUCUACGGCCUAGGCAUUUCAGAAAAGCUCUCCUGGAGAAGAGAUGAACUUAUGGCCUCUUCCAGUAGCGAGGGCAUGAAACUAUAUGCUCCCUGUAUCACAGCAUCUGUAACAUACAGCAAGCAGCAAGGAGGUCCAGACAUGGAGGACGGAAGGUGAAAACAAGCCACCCAACCUGAUAAUGAAAAGCAGGCACUUGGCCUUGGUGAGGAGCAUCUCAGAUAAGUAGUUUAAUUGCCAAGCUCUGAUGCUGGAGGGAGGGAAAUCUAAGCUAAAUUAAAAGAUUAAAAAGAUAUUUUUUCAUCAAGUGGCAAAAUGGAAGAUGUGGACGAGUCUGCUCAGGAGAAAAUGAGCAGAAAGGAACUGUGAAUGUUGUGAAAAUAUAUCCAUUAGACCUGCCUUAUCGAAACGUGCUUUUGCCAAGCAUCCAGCCCUGCAUCGCCAUGGCAACAUGGCCUCAUCAACAGAGAAGAAAGUGUUUUUGUCAGGAUGGGCCCAAACACGUAAAAGCCAUUUCGAUUUGGGGGCAACACGAUCUUCUUCAAUCAAUACAGCACACAUAAUAAUGACUCCUGCCACUUUUUUCAUAAAUCUCCACUUUCUGCUUUCAUUUCCUGUGGUUUGACAUCACUGUGAACUGGAACCAAGUUUAAAUUUCCUACAAUUUUCAGUCCCCUCUGCCCUCAUCUACAACACACCAUGCCUCACGCAGCAGCUUUCUCCUUUGCACAGCACUCGACGCACAACACGCUUACAGGUGGGAUUAGCCCAGCCUGAACUGUGAGAUUGGCUUUUGGGACUCCCCAGUGGCACCUCUACAGAAGCGAAGGCUGAAAGUGCGGUCACAGCUGAGAUGUGAGUUGGCCGAUCAUGGGAUGGAGUAUCCUUUUCUCAAGGAGUUAACCAAGGUUGAUACAGACAGAGGAAAGCUACUUCUCCAGACAGACUGUUGCUGCUUUGGAACGUACACAAGGGUCAGCGAUUUGGAUCCUGCUUGUUCCCCAGGGACCUUUGGGUUGAGAAUGGGAGAAGAUGGCAUUUGGACACCAGUGUGUUUGAUUCCCAGUCUUCCUCAUGAACUAAACAACUGUCUUCAUACUGGAUCAGGGCUGGAUGCUCCAAGAAGGGCUUCUGCUGGUGUUCUGCACACGAGUUGGAGUGGACUGGAGACAAGCCACUGCCAGAUGUCUCUGCCAGGUGUCAAAAGACAGAUGAGAGAAAUACCACUCUGA
rnacentral:lncRNA from 1 species